AGGAUUCCCCUAGUAACUGCGAGUGAAGCGGGAAAAGCUCAAAUUUAAAAUCUGGCAGUCUUUGGCUGUCCGAGUUGUAAUUUAGAGAAGCACUGCCUGCGCUGGACUGUGUACAAGUCUCCUGGAAUGGAGCGUCAUAGAGGGUGAGAAUCCCGUAUAUGACACAGUUGCCGGGGCUUAGUGGCAUGCUCUCCAAGAGUCGAGUUGUUUGGGAAUGCAGCUCAAAAUGGGUGGUAAAUUCCAUCUAAAGCUAAAUAUAGGCGAGAAACCGAUAGCGAACAAGUACCGUGAGGGAAAGAUGAAAAGAACUUUGGAAAGAGAGUUAAACAGUACGUGAAAUUGUUGAAAGGGAAACGCUUGAAGUCAGUCACAUUGCUGGAAAUCACACUUGCUUUGAUUGCUUGUGGCUCUUUCCUAGUAAUGGGUCAGCAUCAGUUUUGAUUGUUGGACAAGGGUUGGAGGAAUGUGGCAUCCUUGGAUGUGUUAUAGCCUCUGAUCAUAUGCAAUGAUGGAGACUGAGGAACUCGGCAUUUUGUGCUUAGGAUGCUGGCAUAAUGGCUUUAAUCGACCCGUCUUAAACACCCGG
rnacentral:rRNA from 1 species